rnacentral:rRNA from 1 species
UACGAAGGGUGCAAGCGUUAAUCGGAAUUACUGGGCGUAAAGGGUGCGUAGGCGGUUGUUUAAGUCUGUCGUGAAAUCCCCGGGCUCAACCUGGGAAUGGCGAUGGAUACUGGGCAGCUAGAGUGUGUCCGAGGAUGGUGGAAUUCCCGGUGUAGCGGUGAAAUGCGUAGAGAUCGGGAGGAACAUCAGUGGCGAAGGCGGCCAUCUGGGACAACACUGACGCUGAAGCACGAAAGCGUGGGGAGCAAACAGG